rnacentral:rRNA from 1 species
UACGUAGGGUGCAAGCGUUGUCCGGAUUCAUUGGGCGUAAAGAGCUCGUAGGCGGCUUGCUAAGUCAGGUGUGAAACCUCCAGGCUCAACCUGGAGCCGCCACCUGAUACUGGUAUGGCUGGAGUCCGGUAGGGGACCACGGAAUUCCUGGUGUAGCGGUGAAAUGCGCAGAUAUCAGGAAGAACACCCGUGGCGAAGGCGGGUCUCUGGGCAGUUACUGACGCUGGAGGAGCGAAAGCGUGGGGAGCGAACAGG